rnacentral:rRNA from 1 species
AGAGAGAGACAUGCGCGCAUAUCAAUAAGCGGAGGAAAAGAAACUAACAAGGAUUCCCCUAGUAACGGCGAGUGAAGCGGGAAGAGCUCAAAUUUGAAAUCUUAAAGGGUUUCCCUUUACGAAUUGUAGUUUAAAGAAGUGUUUUCUGUUGAGGUUUUGGUAAAAGUUCUUUGGAAUAGGACAUCAUAGAGGGUGAGAAUCCCGUAUUUGACCUUUACUUUCAACUUUGUGAUACACUUUCAAAGAGUCGGAUUGUUUGGGAAUGCAGUCCAAAAUGGGUGGUAAAUUUCAUCUAAAGCUAAAUAUUGGCGAGAGACCGAUAGCGAACAAGUACCAUGAGGGAAAGAUGAAAAGAACUUUGAAAAGAGAGUUAAACAGUACGUGAAAUUGUCAAAAGGGAAGCGUUUGACACCAGUGUUGUUUUUCUGAAAAUCAAUUAAAGAACUGUUUAUGCUAAGCUGUUUAGACUUUAUCAGCUAUCUGUUUAGUUUUGAGCUUUUCUUUAAUGCACUUUUCAGUUAACAAGUCAACAUCAAUUUCUUUUGCUGUAAAAAAGCUUGAGGAAGGUGGCUUGAGAUUCGUCUUAAGUGUUUAUAGCCUCUUGCCUAUGCAGUCGGAGAGAUUGAGGUCUGCAGCGUAGAUCCUUCGGGGCUAAAUGCAUUUGUGCUAAGUUAUAGCAUUUUAUAGACAACUUGUUGACUAUGAUUUGUCUUGUAGCUUACUCGCUUAUGUUAUUUUACCUACGCUUAGGAUGUUGACGCAUGAGAUAUACGC